AGAGUUUGAUCCUGGCUCAGGAUGAACGCUGGCGGCGUGCCUAAUACAUGCAAGUCGAGCGAACGGACGAGAAGCUUGCUUCUCUGAUGUUAGCGGCGGACGGGUGAGUAACACGUGGAUAACCUACCUAUAAGACUGGGAUAACUUCGGGAAACCGGAGCUAAUACCGGAUAAUAUUUUGAACCGCAUGGUUCAAAAGUGAAAGACGGUCUUGCUGUCACUUAUAGAUGGAUCCGCGCUGCAUUAGCUAGUUGGUAAGGUAACGGCUUACCAAGGCAACGAUGCAUAGCCGACCUGAGAGGGUGAUCGGCCACACUGGAACUGAGACACGGUCCAGACUCCUACGGGAGGCAGCAGUAGGGAAUCUUCCGCAAUGGGCGAAAGCCUGACGGAGCAACGCCGCGUGAGUGAUGAAGGUCUUCGGAUCGUAAAACUCUGUUAUUAGGGAAGAACAUAUGUGUAAGUAACUGUGCACAUCUUGACGGUACCUAAUCAGAAAGCCACGGCUAACUACGUGCCAGCAGCCGCGGUAAUACGUAGGUGGCAAGCGUUAUCCGGAAUUAUUGGGCGUAAAGCGCGCGUAGGCGGUUUUUUAAGUCUGAUGUGAAAGCCCACGGCUCAACCGUGGAGGGUCAUUGGAAACUGGAAAACUUGAGUGCAGAAGAGGAAAGUGGAAUUCCAUGUGUAGCGGUGAAAUGCGCAGAGAUAUGGAGGAACACCAGUGGCGAAGGCGACUUUCUGGUCUGUAACUGACGCUGAUGUGCGAAAGCGUGGGGAUCAAACAGGAUUAGAUACCCUGGUAGUCCACGCCGUAAACGAUGAGUGCUAAGUGUUAGGGGGUUUCCGCCCCUUAGUGCUGCAGCUAACGCAUUAAGCACUCCGCCUGGGGAGUACGACCGCAAGGUUGAAACUCAAAGGAAUUGACGGGGACCCGCACAAGC
rnacentral:rRNA from 1 species